AUUGAACGCUGGCGGCAGGCCUAACACAUGCAAGUCGAACGAGUGGCGGACGGGUGAGUAAUGUCUGGGAAACUGCCUGAUGGAGGGGGAUCACUACUGGAAACGGUCGCUAAUACCGCAUACCAUCGGAUGUCCCCAGAUGGGAUUAGCUUGUUGGUGGGUUAACGGCUCACCAAGGCGACGAUCCCUAGCUGGUCUGAGAGGAUGACCAGCCACACUGGAACGGGGACACGGUCCGAACUCCUGCGGGGGGAAGCAGUGGGGAAUAUUGCACAAUGGGCGCAAGCCUGAUGCAGCCAUGCGGGGUGUAUGAAGAGGGCCUGCGGGUUGUAAAGUACUUUCAGCGGGAAGGCGUUACCCGCAGAAGAAGCACCGGCUAACUCCGUGCCAGCAGCCGCGGUAAUAC
rnacentral:rRNA from 1 species